UUAACCUCUCUUAUAUAUAUAUACUCCUGUAAUAAUACAUAAAUGUUAGUCUCUUUCUCUUUUUCUUUCAUUGAUCAUUAGCUUAUUUACUGCGUUAUUCAUAAUUUUGUUUUAUAAUUUAUUUUUUAAUUUUAACAUUUUUAUAUUUUAUAUAUAGGUGAGUGAUGAUCGUAAUUGCAUGCUAUUUUUUUCUACCAUCUCUAAAUUCAAGUAAGUAUUAUUUAUUCUGAUAUUGAAUUUUAAUUUUAAUAAAAGCUUAAUUGGAAUAAAGUUUCAUCUUUUUAACUUCUCUUAUAUAUACUUUUAUGAUGAUGUAUAAUUUUUAAGUUCCUUCCCCAAUUUUUGUUAUUGAUUGUUAUAUUCUUCAAUCAAAUGAGUUCCUUUUUAUUUAACUUUAUUAUUGUUACAUGCAUAUGAUGGUCGUUUAAUACGCUAAUUUUUCCUACUAUAUCCAAUCUUGAAUUAAUGUUCUUAUCUUUUUGUGUGAUGAUUUUAUUUGACUAUUAUUGUUGAUUUAUAGAAGAGAUAAAAGAAGAAUGAAGAAAGGAGAAAAAUAGAUAACUGCGUAAGUAGAAAUUUUAUUGAUAUAGUUGACCGGUUUAAGCUUUUCUAAAUUUUGUGUUUGAUAUUAUUGAUCUCCUUUUUAAUAUUAUUUUAUUUUAUAAUUUAUUUAUUUAUUAUCAAUUGUAUGCAAUUGAAAUUAUUUUUGUAUUUAAUAUCACAUUCACGAAUUGUUCUGUAUUUAAAUUAUUUUUGACAACCUAAAAUUCUUAAAUUGUAAAUAAUAAUAAAGAAAAAUAUAAAACAUAAUUUUUAUUUUUGUUUUUUUGCAAUUGUAUGAUUAGUUUACCCAUAUAAAUUUGGUUAGAGAUGUGGGAAGAGGAAAUGUUUAACAAAUUAAUACUAUUAAACUUUGAAUAAUAUAAUAAGAAAAAUAUAAAAUAUAUAUUAUUUUAUAAUUACAAAAUUAUUUUUUAGUACAAACUUGAUUAGAGGUGUGGAAUUAGGGUGAGGUGGGGGUGGGGAGAGGGUGCGGGGGUUGGAUGUGCAUGGGAGAGGUAG
rnacentral:lncRNA from 1 species